rnacentral:rRNA from 1 species
GACGAACGCUGGCGGCGUGCUUAACACAUGCAAGUCGAACGGAAAGGCCCUGCUUUUGUGGGGUGCUCGAGUGGCGAACGGGUGAGUAACACGUGAGUAACCUGCCCUUGACUUUGGGAUAACUUCAGGAAACUGGGGCUAAUACCGGAUAGGAGCUCCUGCUGCAUGGUGGGGGUUGGAAGGUUUCGGCGGUUGGGGAUGGACUCGCGGCUUAUCAGCUUGUUGGUGGGGUAGUGGCUUACCAAGGCUUUGACGGGUAGCCGGCCUGAGAGGGUGACCGGCCACAUUGGGACUGAGAUACGGCCCAGACUCCCACGGGAGGCAGCAGUGGGGAAUAUUGCACAAUGGGCGGAAGCCUGAUGCAGCAACGCCGCGUGCGGGAUGACGGCCUUCGGGUUGUAAACCGCUUUCGCCUGUGACGAAGCGUGAGUGACGGUAAUGGGUAAAGAAGCACCGGCUAACUACGUG